GACGAACGCUGGCGGCGUGCUUAACACAUGCAAGUCGAACGGAAAGGCCCUGCUUUUGUGGGGUGCUCGAGUGGCGAACGGGUGAGUAACACGUGAGUAACCUGCCCUUGACUUUGGGAUAACUUCAGGAAACUGGGGCUAAUACCGGGUAGGAGCUCCUGCUGCAUGGUGGGGGUUGGAAAGUUUCGGCGGUUGGGGACGGACUCGCGGCUUAUCAGCUUGUUGGUGGGGUAGUGGCUUACCAAGGCUUUGACGGGUAGCCGGCCUGAGAGGGUGACCGGCCACAUUGGGACUGAGAUACGGCCCAGACUCCUACGGGAGGCAGCAGUGGGGAAUAUUGCACAAUGGGCGGAAGCCUGAUGCAGCAACGCCGCGUGCGGGAUGACGGCCUUCGGGUUGUAAACCGCUUUCGCCUGUGACGAAGCGUGAGUGACGGUAAUGGGUAAAGAAGCACCGGCUAACUACGUG
rnacentral:rRNA from 1 species